rnacentral:ncRNA from 1 species
ACUUAAAUAAUUUGAGCAUUAGUAAAAAAACUUAUUAAAUGCUAGCUUUCAAAUUCAGGGAAACUUAGGUUGAAAAAAGUAUAAGCAAUCCUGAGCCAAAUAUUAUUUUAUUUAAAAAUAAAAUAGGUGCAGAGACUCAAUGGAAGCUAUCCUAACGAAUAAUAUUUAAAAUUUUUUAAGUGAAAAAAUUUUAUUUUAAAAUAAAAUAUUAAGCAAGGAUAAAGAUAGAGUCCAAUUUUACAUGUUAAUUUUAGCAACAAUUUAAAUUGUAGUAAAAAGAAAAUCCGUUGGCUUUAUUGACCGUGAGGGUUCAAGUCCCUCUACCCCCAAAAUUGCAAAUUUUUAUUGACAUUAACUAGAAAUUUAUGUUAGGAUAAGCCAAUGAAAAAGCCGGAAUAGCUCAGUUGGUAGAGCAG